GGGACAGUUCUUCUGCCUUAUACGAUUGCCAGUAAAUACAGUAAGCUAUUCCCAUUAGUUAACAACUCGCGAGUUUUGUUGCUGCUUUUUUUCACAUUAAUAUCAGGAACUCACUUCUCCUUUCUAUUCUCAGCGGAGUCAGAAAAGUCAACAAUUAAAGGAGCUUUCGGUGAGUUUGAACUCUUCACCUGUUUGAAGUUUGUUGAAAGAACGACAGAAAAUGAUUACAUCAGCAUAGAAUCUGGAACUGGGUAAGUUGAAAUAAAAGGUAGGGAAGUCCUAUUUGGUAAGAUAAGAAGACAAACUGGAUAGUUUAAUGAGAGUUAUUUAAGGUCACAAGACCUAAUUCACUAAAUAAUGAAUAUUCAUAGUCUAAAUGAAUGGAUCAUGAAGGUAUGUUAUCCUACAAUGUUUUGAAGUAAUCAUGGUGCAUUAUGACUGUAUUGGCAAUGUUUAGAUUUACUAAAGCCAAAUGCAGUCAGGAUUAGGCUGUUGUCUCACCGAUUCUGUAAAAUUAGUUCAGGUGAGUUUGGAAAAUCAAUGAUUUCCAGCAUGGAUAUAGCAGAUUUAUCAAUAACCACAGGGGGAUGAUAAUCUGAAUACAUCCAGCCAGAUUGUGUCAUGUGUCAUGCAAGGUUGUGUCAUGCAAUCAUGGCUAAACAUUCCAUGCGAAAGGCCAAUGUUGUCUUUAUGGACCAGAACGUAAUGACAGAAAAGAUUGCCAUGAAUACUUAAAGGGUUUAAUAACCUAAUUGUUUUUUAUCUAAUAUACUAACAUUCAACAAACAUAUGUAUGCUGUUUUUUUAGGUGCUGGUCAAAUCUUGGAAAAGUUGGUGGAAAACAGACUUUGAGCCUGAGUCAAGACAUCUGCAUAAACC